rnacentral:tRNA from 1 species
AGUAAUGUAGUUAAAUAUAUAACUGUUGGUUUGCAUUCAAUUAUUAAGAAUUAUGUUCUUUAUUACUA